AGUCUCUCUCGCACACUGCACACGCGCAUUAUACCUACUCUCUAUAUUCUCUCGAGAGGUUGGAUAGUUUUCUUUUUGGCCGCAGCCACAGCAUGGUGGUUUCCAAACUCUGUAUGUGGUUGUCGUCGCUUUAAGUCGUUCGUUCUCGUCGUCGUCGUUGUAGUCGUUGUCGUCAUUUCAAUUGAAGCAAAAACGUCAUCAGCUUAUCGCUCUUAUGUAGGUAUGUACAUAAGGGUGUUUCCAUAAUGUCGGACGUGACAUUCGUACGACUUUAGAGUUAAGUAAACGAUACGAAAACGAACGUCACUUAUUAGGUGCGCUUGGAACACUUGGUGUCGAGAAAUUCGAUGAAAAGGAGGUCAUAACUUACGUGACAAAAUCAAUGGUUUCAUCAGAGUACAUACAUAUACAAUAAGUAAGACCGCAAAUCCUAAGCAAACUGUUGUUGGUUUUAUUUUGAAUUAAAAUGUGAUAACGGACGUGAUAUAUGUAUGGGCGAAUCCGAGAAAUAGUCAACCAAAAUCGGCAAAAAAUUCAUGCAAUUCAACUUCUCGCAUGGCAUAGUAGUUUUAAAGCCAGCAAUAAAGACGAAUUGUGGCGCCACAUCCUAAAACCGUGGUAUCGCAUUCCGAAAAGUGUUUGUGCAAACUUGGUUAAUUCGAUGCACCGAAUAUGCGAAGAGGUAAUCAGGCAAGGCGGCGGUUCAAUAAGCUAUUGAAACAAUAAUAUUUUUGUAAGAAUUUUUGGGUCAAAGUUUAAUUUAUUUAGAAAUAAUACUUUGUUUCUAUUAUUUCUUCCAGGCCAAAAUUAAAAAAUGGGCCACAAUUUAUUUAUGACUUAUUCCACGUGCAAAAGAAGUCUAGAUUUUAAUUAACGUAGACAAAAUGUACGAAAAUGAAAGAAUUCUUCAAACAAUAAAAAUAAAAGAAAGCUGUACGUUUCUAUUAUUUUAUCCUACACUGUAUAUAAGAAUAUGUUGUACUAUGCCAUUUUUAAUAAAAUACAACAAUACCGCUUUAAAAAAAACCUAUUUUUUCAACGCAGUUG